rnacentral:rRNA from 1 species
UACGGGGGGGGCAAGCGUUGUUCGGAAUUACUGGGCGUAAAGGGCUCGUAGGCGGCCAACUAAGUCGGAUGUGAAAUCCCCAGGCUUAACCUGGGAACUGCAUCCGAUACUGGUUGGCUUGAAUCCGGGAGAGGGAUGCGGAAUUCCCGGUGUAGUGGUGGAAUGCGUAGAGAUCGGGAGGAACACCAGUGGCGAAGGCGGCUUCCUGGACCGUGGCUGACGCUGAGGCGCGAAAGCGUGGGGAGCGAUCCGG